AACAGGAUUAGAUACCCUGGUAGUCCACGCCAUAAACGAUGAUAACUAGCUGUCCGGACACUUGGUGUUUGGGUGGCGCAGCUAACGCAUUAAGUUAUCCGCCUGGGGAGUACGGCCGCAAGGUUAAAACUCAAAUGAAUUGACGGGGGCCUGCACAAGCGGUAGAGCAUGUAGUUUAAUUCGAAGCAACGCGCAGAACCUUACCAGCGUUUGACAUGUCCGGACGAUUUCCAGAGAUGGAUCUCUUCCCUUCGGGGACUGGAACACAGGUGCUGCAUGGCUGUCGUCAGCUCGUGUCGUGAGAUGUUGGGUUAAGUCCCGCAACGAGCGCAACCCUCGCCUUUAGUUACCAUCAUUCAGUUGGGUACUCUAAAGGAACCGCCGGUGAUAAGCCGGAGGAAGGUGGGGAUGACGUCAAGUCCUCAUGGCCCUUACGCGCUGGGCUACACACGUGCUACAAUGGCAACUACAGUGGGCAGCAAUCCCGCGAGGGUGAGCUAAUCUCCAAAAGUUGUCUCAGUUCGGAUUGUUCUCUGCAACUCGAGAGCAUGAAGGCGGAAUCGCUAGUAAUCGCGGAUCAGCAUGCCGCGGUGAAUACGUUCCCAGGCCUUGUACACACCGCCCGUCACACCAUGGGAGUUGGAUUCACCCGAAGGCGUUGCGCUAACUCGCAAGAGAGGCAGGCGACCACGGUGGGUUUAGCGACUGGGGUGAAGUCGUAACAAGGUAACC
rnacentral:rRNA from 1 species